rnacentral:rRNA from 1 species
AGUGAACGCUGGCGGUAGGCCUAACACAUGCAAGUCGAACGGCAGCACAGUAAGAGCUUGCUCUUACGGGUGGCGAGUGGCGGACGGGUGAGGAAUACAUCGGAAUCUACUUUUUCGUGGGGGAUAACGUAGGGAAACUUACGCUAAUACCGCAUACGACCUACGGGUGAAAGCAGGGGAUCUUCGGACCUUGCGCGAUUGAAUGAGCCGAUGUCGGAUUAGCUAGUUGGCGGGGUAAAGGCACCAAGGCGACGAUCCGUAGCUGGUCUGAGAGGAUGAUCAGCCACACUGGAACUGAGACACGGUCCAGACUCCUACGGGAGGCAGCGGUGGGGAAUAUUGGACAAUGGGCGCAAGCCUGAUCCAGCCAUACCGCGUGGGUGAAGAAGGCCUUCGGGUUGUAAAGCCCUUUUGUUGGGAAAGAAAAGCAGCAGGUUAAUACCCCGCUGUUCUGACGGUACCCAAAGAAUAAGCACCGACUAACUUCGUG